ensembl:misc_RNA Metazoa_SRP Metazoan signal recognition particle RNA
GCCAGGCAUGGUAGCGCCUGCCUGUAGUCCCAGCUACUUAGGAGGCUGAGGCAGGAGGAUCGCUUGAGCCCAGGAGGUCAAGGCUGCAGGGAGCUGUGAUCAUGGCACUGCACUACAGCCUGGGCGACAGAGUGAAACCCUGUCUCAA